AUGACCAUAGCAAGUCAAGUAAUGUUGUGUUGCUCCAUCCUCAUGAAACUUCUAACACGAAUCCUUCAGAUGACUCCUGGCUUUCUGAAUUCAGAACAUCAUCAGAGGAAAAUUGUCCAGAGUCAAGCCGAAGUAGUUUAUCAUACGUUUCCGUUAUGGUGGAGGAUUACAAUGGCAAUGUAG